CGCAGUGCGACUUGCGUACACUGCAAGUCGCACGGACAUUAUAAGGAAGCUUGCGAAUUCUAAAAUUAUUGGCGCACGGGCUGAGUAACGCGUUGGAUGACCUGCUCUGGUAGACCGGGAUAACAGCUGGAAACGGCUGCUAAUACCGGAUACGCUUAAGGGAACGCAUGUUCUUUUAAGGAAAGCAAUCGUGCUAUCAGAUGGAUCCGCGUCCCAUUAGCUAGUUGGUGGUGUAAGGGACCACCAAGGAGACCAUUGGUAGCCGGCCUGAGAGGGCGACCGGCCACACUGGGACUGAGACACGGUCCAGACUCCUACGGGAGGCGGCAUUGGGGAAUCUUCCACGAUGGGCGAAAGCCUGACAGAUCAACGCCUCGUGAGGGAAGAAGGCCUUCUGGUUGUAAACCUCUUUCAUCAUGGAAGAACAUAUGACGGUGCUUGGAGAGGAAGCCCCGGCUAACUACGUGCCAGCUACCGCGGUAUAACGUAAGGCGCGAUCGUUAUCCGGAAGUACUGGGCGUCAGGGCGCGUACGUGGUGCAUUAGUUUAUAUGUGAAUGAUCGGGGCUCGACCCCGAGAUUGGCUCUGAUUCUGGUGGACUUGACUGCAUGAAAGGCGAGCGCAAUUCCCAGUGUAGCGGUGAAAUGCGUACAUUGAGUGAGGAACAUCAGUGGCUACUGCCGCUCUCUAGAGUGUAUCUGAGACUGAAGCGCGCUAGCGUGGUCAGCGAACAGGAUACAUACCCUGGUCGUCCACCCGUGAACAUCAGGCUAUGUGUUCUGGUACUACCCCGCUUUGCGCCUUUAG
rnacentral:rRNA from 1 species